rnacentral:misc_RNA from 1 species
AACAGUGAGCUCAAAGCUUUUUUUCUAACUACAAAACAGCUAUGUAAUGUAAGCUUUCUAUUAGCAACGUAAAACCAAUCAGAAAAAUUUUGCAUAAUUCGAACUGGCUACUAGCUGAAUAUAAACGCCCCGUUUAGGUGAAUUUUUCUAGGUUGAAUAUGGACAAAAGAACCUACCUUUCAGCCCAGUUAUUUUUAGCUAGUAGGUCCAACUUAACUAUCUAGCUUCUAGCUAUUGACUACCCACCCUUUUCGUAAAAAACAAAUUAAAUAUAGAACUGCAUCGGUAGUACCCCAAGACACACAGUAACGAUUCCACGUUCGUGAGACUCACUCCAUAUAUAAACUUUCCUCUCUUCAACUCUUUUCUUGUCAACAUAGUAAAACAAUCUUGAAAUGGAUCUUAAAUCUGGAUUAGCCUUUUUAAAUUGUGUGCUCAGCAAGAGCAGUUCGUUGGACAAACCAUACCAUUAUAAUUACACCGACAUUUCUGAUAACGGGAUCAAGUUCUCUAGGGGAGGAAAGGAAUACAUCCGCCCGUGCGGAUGGAAUCGUUUUGCGUUGAAAGUCAAAGGCAAGUACCCGGACGAUAUUUGGCUAGAAGGGAAAACACCUCGGGCUGACCAAUUCUCUUCCGCCGAAGGAGAAUGGCCAGUGUCCUACUCCUACCAUAAGGAUCUACCCAUUACAGAAGAAGGAAAGCGUUUCAACUAUGGCAACGGAAUUUACUCGACACCUGACAUCGAAGUCGCAUGCAAAUAUGCCGUGGCGAUCCCGAUGAACGGAAAAACAUGCAAGGUCAUCAUGCAAAAUCGUGUCAACCCUAAAAAUGUGAAGAUAAUAAGCAAAGCUGAAACUGGUGUGGGCGAGUAUUGGAUCUCACCCAGUGACGACGAUGUUCGCGCUUAUGGCAUCUGCAUUAAAGAAUGUUGAUUUUACUAUAUGCACAUCUAAAAAUACUGAAAGCCAAUAAUUUAAAUAUGAGGCGUUCACUGAGUGCCUAAAUAUUGUGAUCCAACAGAAAAUAAAAUAGUAGCGAGGGAA